GACGAACGCUGGCGGCGUGCUUAACACAUGCAAGUCGAACGGUGAACGAGGGAGCUUGCUCCCUCCGGAUCAGUGGCGAACGGGUGAGUAACACGUGAGCAAUCUGCCCCGAACUCUGGGAUAAGCGUUGGAAACGACGUCUAAUACCGGAUACGACGCGGGAGGGCAUCCUCUCCGCGUGGAAAGAACUUCGGUUCGGGAUGAGCUCGCGGCCUAUCAGCUUGUUGGUGAGGUAACGGCUCACCAAGGCGACGACGGGUAGCCGGCCUGAGAGGGUGACCGGCCACACUGGGACUGAGACACGGCCCAGACUCCUACGGGAGGCAGCAGUGGAGAAUAUUGCACAAUGGGCGCAAGCCUGAUGCAGCAACGCCGCGUGAGGGACGACGGCCUUCGGGUUGUAAACCUCUUUUAGCAGGGAAGAAGCGAAAGUGACGGUACCUGCAGAAAAAGCACCGGCUAACUACGU
rnacentral:rRNA from 1 species